rnacentral:rRNA from 1 species
UACGUAGGGUGCAAGCGUUAAUCGGAAUUACUGGGCGUAAAGCGUGCGCAGGCGGUUUUGUAAGUCUGACGUGAAAGCCCCGGGCUUAACCUGGGAAUGGCCGUUGAAACUGGCGAACUGGAGUGUGGCAGAGGGGGGUGGAAUUCCGCGUGUAGCAGUGAAAUGCGUAGAGAUGCGGAGGAACACCGAUGGCGAAGGCAGCCCCCUGGGCUAACACUGACGCUCAGGCACGAAAGCGUGGGGAGCAAACAGG